GAUCUUUACACAAAGCCACCAUUAUUUCCCUGCUCUGGUCUCAAAAACACACACACAGCAACUUUCAUCAGUUUCUAGACGAAAAAAUGGAUGAUUAUCCACAUGCCCAUGUUGAAACGAGCCCGUUUGGUCGGCUGGCUGUCCUGGAUGUUUCCUCUGAAAACAAUAAAUAGAGCAAAGUAAACGAAGCAUUUCAUGUCCAACUGUGAUCUGGUGUGAUUGUACAAACAUUAACUUCCAAGACAAAAUGUCUGAAACUUGUUUGGUUGCAUUUCAGAUGAGGGGGAAAAAGUGCUUAUUUUCCCCUACACCCAGACACUAGAGAUUCACAGAUAAGGCCGACCCCAUAAACUGCGGUGGAUGCGUUUCCCCCAGCGUCCAUAUGAAAGGCACAGUGAGAAAACUCUUGAAAUGGAUUUCUUGAUAAUACAAUUUCAUGUUUAAACGGUAAACACAGAGCAAGCCCUUUUGGUUUAACAACCCGCUUGAUAAAUUGAGUUUGAGGAACUUCGCAAGGAGAGUUAUCUUGCCCUUCAGAUAACACAAGCAGAAGCAAUUGUUACCGCAGGGUCCUCGGGUGUCGCAUGCCGAGGCAUAAACACCCAAGACUGAGACUGUGACUGUGAAGUGACACGCUUUGAUGGCGUCAGCUGUCAUCAAGAGAGCCACUUGGUGAGAUCACGUACAUAAGCUUCAACUAUUAAUUCACUGGAUUAUGAAAGAUGUAGCUGUGUGAGUGGUGGUGAGGUUGCUACGUUACGUACACACUGACAUCAUGGAUAACAUUUUGAGAACACAACCACUUCCUGAUAUCACUCAAGGCCAAAGAUUAAUUCAGGCAAUGGUGACCUAGUGCAGAGUUUCCACAUACAUUUUCAGCUAAAGACCCAAAUGACAAAAAAAA